rnacentral:misc_RNA from 1 species
UAGAGAGGAGAGAUGACGUGGUCGUGAGUCGUGUGCAAGUCGAGGCCGCCACAGACGCACAUUCCAACCGCCACUCCACUUGUAGGAGUCCAACGGUUCUGUGAUGUGGACGGAUGAAGUUUGUAAACUCGCCUCAAGAUCGUACUUUGGUCUGCUCAGCAAGAUGGGGUUGUUGUGACACCAUGAUUGCAGUCACUGUGUUUCAUGGAUGUGCCAACAGCCAGCCCUUGUUAGAGUGACAAGAUCAAAUACUGACAUUGCUGUGCACCUGCAAGUCGAGAAACAGGCAGCCUUAGUACUUGUGCAGUUAUUCUGUGGUGUUUAAGGGUGACACAAAUUUCAAAGGUUCCCUGAAACUGAUAGUGUGAGGUUGUCAGCAAAGGUAGCUUUCUAGCAUCUGUGUGAGAUAACAUUCUCAUUCAGCAUGGAGGUUGGCUUGCUGGACCUGGAGGGGCUGACCAAUGAGGAACGGACCAUCAUCCUCAACGUUAUUCGUCGUGAUGAUGAAGUUUGUCGUCGCCUGGAGACCCGCAUAAAACAACUGAAAGCAGAACUACAUGAUAUCCGCAUGAAGAGUGCUCUUCGCACAGGAGAUGACUUGAGCAAAAUGUGUGCGCGGUGUCACAUGAUUUUCGGGAUUUUUGUGAACACUGGGGACAUUUGUCCAGGCUGUCACUUUCGAGUGUGCAAGAACUGCAGGGAAAAUCUCAUAUCCCAUGGCUGGAUGUGUAUUUUGUGUUUCAGAGAAAACCAGAUACGGUGGUUAACUGGAGAGUGGAUGGGGAAAGACAAGACAGGCAAGUCUAAGCAAAUUAGGGCAACGGACCUUGUGCGAGCUUCUCUGAGAAUCAGGCACGAAAACAGCUUUGUUGCUGAAAUCUUUACAGGUGCAGCAGGUGAUGAGAAAUCAUCAUCCGAAGAACACAGUCGUCCAGCAGAGGGUGACAGCAGCAGCAGCAUCAAUGGUGUCAGUGAAAAUGGACGUCGAGAAGAAAUCAGUCCAGUCACAAAGUUUGUUCCCUCAGGUGCUGCUAAUGCAGUCCCGGCAGAUUCUGUGCACAGUGCAGGUGUGGUUCUCUCCCCCUCUGAUGUACAUGCUCGCAGUUUCUCUUUGCCCCAGUGUAACCAGCAUGGGGCUGUUACAGUACCUCUUGAUCAGGAAUCCAUGCAGGCAAAAGGAGAUCAAAAACAAAAAAAUGGGGAUGAAAGCAGCUGUGGCGAACAAAAAGAUAUGUUUACCAUGGAUACUACAUCCUUGUCAGGCUUGGAAAGGAAAAGUCUCAAAGAGAGCGACACAAAAAGUCAAGAUAAGAAUGACAAAACAUGCCAUGAAAAUACAAGUUCUGUUCUACAUGAAGGUGGCCAGGAUGGUAAGAGUUGUAUUGUAGACAUGUGCUCACAGGCAGGAAAUACCAGAGAAGUCAAUAAAGAAUCAGAAAGUCUUGUGGAGGCUCAUGUGGAACACAUCAGUCAUCAUCAUGGUGCAGGCGAGGAGCAGUUUGAGGGGAGAGUCAUUUCCUUGGUACCAGAGGCUGGUGAAUCCACAGAGAACCCUUUGGCUGCUCUGAGGGCUCCGAAGAACGAGUUGCCGUACACGCUGCAACUGUUCUUGCGGUGUAACAGCACAACCUCGGAUACCUUGAGCAUCAUUUCGGAAUUAUCUGAACCCAAUGAAAGCUGCCAUGAAGAUUAUCUUGGAGAUGAAAGAGACAGGGAUUUGUUAGAUGAUGACGAGGGCAGUGAUGAUACAGUUUGCAAUGAGCCUCAUGUUUCUUGGUCAGAUGCAACUCAUGCAGGUUUUAAUGUAGAAAAGUCAGAAGACAAAGAAGCUCUACUUUUGGAUGAGGAAGGUGUUGUAGGUAACAGGAAUGGAAGCAGAGUAGAAGUAGCCAGUGAGGGAGAGCUUCAUGCAUCAUCAGUGUGUGAUGUGUGUCCACCUCUUGAAGCAUUUAGUCAGAAGGUUUAUUUUGCAGGUAAAGGUGUCCGGGACGUGGAGGAAGGAACAAGGGCAGGAGACGUAGAAGCUAAGGUUGAGGAAACAUCCAGCUCCAGUAGCCAGACGAAGCCAAUACAUGAUGGUGGCCUUAGAAGUGAGGUGAAACAAAAUUCACUUUCAUCAGAGAAGGAGGAUGAAAAGCAUUCGUCUCAAGUCGGAGGUGAUGCUUUAAUGAUAAAUGCUGAUGAGGCUGAAAAAGAAAAGAAUCAGGAUCUGAGAAGAGAUUUUAAAGGUUCUGUGCAUGCAGCGGCUGCCAUUGUAGACAAAGAAAAUGCCUUUGAUGAUGAAGAGAACCUUUGUAGUUCAAGCAGUUCUACUACUGUGCAGGAGAAUAUUUCCCAAGAAGAAAUCAACAGGAAUGUCAUUAUCAACACUCCUUAUGAGAGGAAUGUAAUUAUUGAUACUCCUGUCAUUAUCGAUACUACUUAUGAGAAGAAAGUGAGCGAUGAGGUAGACAAGCAGCCUAUUGAAAGUGAAUUAGUGUUGGAAUCUGGCUUAGGCCAAGAACCUAACUUAAUAGUUGAAUUCAUAGAAGAGAAGUCUAAUGCAGAUGAAGGCAAAGAAGUUCCUUGUACUGUGACACAAAUUGUCAGCAAUACUCAGAGAGAGAUCAAACCCCUUGUCACAGGUACAGAUGGCACACCAUCCAUUCCAGAGCAGUCUGGUGCAGGUUAUUGUGGGCAGAAUGUCACAGCAGCUGCAGGCAGGGUGACAGAUACGACUGUGCCACCAAAACCAGUUGAUCUGGGACAGAAAGUCGUUCCAGCUGCAGGAACUUUGCCUGUCAUUAUUACAACAAUUGCAGAAAAUGAUUCAGACAAAGGCAUCGCGACAGAUACAGGCAGGCUGCCAUUUGCUUCCCCUAAACUCCGCUUGUCAGAUGUUCCUGAUGGAGCAGAGUCACAGCAAAAAUUACCUCCAGAUAUCAGCAUCUCAAGACCGGUGGAUGCAGACAGUGCAGGGAGUGAACACUCUGGUUCACCAGAAAAGAGAAGCUCCCCACACCGCAACAGUCACUUGUCCAUCCAUCUGCGGCUACAGGUUCACAGUCAGGAUCUCAUGAUGAGAGGUCUUUCGAUGAUGAUGAUGAUAAUAUUGAUGAGCUGUUUGCCAACCAUCGGUCGGGUAGCAGAUUGAGUGCCAUGCGUAACAACAUUGGUUUUGGAGACAGUCCCUAUAUGCAUGGUUGUUUCCUUUCACUUGGGUUUCCACCUAGAGACAAGGAUGUGGACAGCCGUGAAAGUCUGGCAAGUGUUUACAGCAAUGCUGGGGAGAUCAACUAUGGGCGCAUUCCAGUAACAGGAGACAUUGUCUUUGGCCUGGACUAUGACCAUCGUCACUCUGUGCUGAAGAUUGACGUGAGGAACUGCCAAACAUUGCGCCUGUGGACA